UACGAAAGUGUCUUAUUUUUUUAAAGUAUUUCAAAGUAAAAUUACAUGUUAAUACGUAGUAUUAAUGGCGAGACUCCUGAGGGAGCAGUGCCAGUCGAAGACCGAGGCUGAGACGGCACCCUAGGAAGGGACCCGUCAUCAAAAAUUCUAUUUAUAGAAUUUUACAA
rnacentral:sRNA from 1 species